GAUGAAGAACGUAGCGAAAUGCGAUAAUUAAUGUGAAUUGCAGAAUUCCGUGAAUCAUCGAGUCUUUGAACGCACAUUGCGCCUCAUGGCAUUCCGUGAGGCAUGCCCAUCUCAGCGUUAGAAAAUAUUCUCAAAUUUUAGUUUUGUGCUAAAAUUUGGAUCAUGUCAAGGAAGCUAUUACUAUUAUUGUGAUCGCUCUUUGGAAAUUGAUAGGUCUUUGAGUUGCUACUCAUAGAACGUGAUGAAUCUUUCUUCGUUCUAUUGUAAUUCACUCUGGUAGUCCUAAAACUUGUAUGCCUGUGGCAUAUCUUGUAAUUUGACCUGAGAUUGGGUAGGGAUACCCGCUGAACUCAAGCAUAUCAAUAAGCGGAGGA
rnacentral:misc_RNA from 1 species